rnacentral:tRNA from 2 species
GGGCCUGUGGCGCAGCUGGAAGCGCGUCUGCAUGGCAUGCAGAAGGUCAGGAGUUCGAAUCUCCUCAGGUCCACCA